rnacentral:rRNA from 1 species
UCCCUCAGGAUAGCUGGCUCUCGGGAAGAGACGAGUCUCAUCCGGUAGAGCGAAUGAUUAGAGGUGAUGGGGUCGAAACGACUUCAACCUAUUCUCAAACUCCCAAUAGAUGAGAGCCCCGGCUUGCUUGAAAGUGAAGCCGCGGGACUCGGAUCAGAGGUGCCAAGUGGGCCAAUUUUGGUAAGCAGAACUGGCGCUGUGGGAUGAACCAAACGUAGAGUUA